UCAUGUUUUCAGUAGAAUUCACUGUUGCAGUAUUUGUGAGAGAUGACUCCUGUUUCCUCAAUUGUCCUCCUAUUCUCUCUGGAGAGAGUCCUGGUCCCUCAACUCCGCACCAGGGGAAGUGAAAGAGCAAGCAGGACUUGCAAAAUACACUGGAUAUGCUGACAAAGUACAUUUUUAGCUCCAAAGCCACUGACUCAUGCUCCUGAGCAGCUGGAUUCCCACAGGAAAGGAGGUAGCCAGAGCAGUUUAAAGAAGCAUUUAUCUUAAAGACUCAUAAAAGAAAUUGCUGUGGUAUGAAUGAAAUGAGUAAGUGGACUGUGACUCCUCGGGAGAGAUUAUCUUCUCUUUCCCAAGAAGUACCCUCUGCAGAGUAAGUAAAAUAAAUAGGCUGAAGGAGCGCUGACAGUUAGCAAUUCUAUUGAGAAGAGGCAAGGCCUCUCAAAGACUGCUGGGCCUUCGUCAAGUUCUGGAAGUUGAAGAAGGACGGAAGACCUGAACAAGCCAUGUGGAUGAGGAUGUCUGUGGGCAGAAGUGACUGGCACCUUAAGUGAACACUCUCCCAUUGUGUCUUGGUGUUGAGUCAAGAUGAUGGAACUAAGAGGUUGUCUUGAGGAUGGAAGUAAUCCUAAGUCUGAAGGAGAGAGAGUAAACUGGAAAGAAAUAAAAUUGAGAUAAUGGCAGAUAAUAUGCGAUUUCUUGAGCACUCAAGUUUGUGUAUUAAAAAUUGUAGCUGCCACAUGACAGAAAUGGUGUAAAUAACCACACUAAUAUAAAACAUGGGGAUUAAAUUUUUUUGGGGGGGGAGUAAGAUUUAAUGGAAAAUAUUUUUUGCAUUGACAAAUUUAUGUAUUUAUUUUAUCUAUAAAUGUUUUCCCUCUGUUGAAGCAGUAUGUUGUUUAUUUCUGUCUAUCAUUUAAGAAACAUUUAUUCCUGUUCUAUAAACACAAAUAUUUAUCACCAAUAUAUAUAAAAAAUGAGUUCUAGUUAACUGUGUAAAUGACAAUGGUACUGUGCCUCAUCUUGUAAUUUCACAAACUUACUUAAAAAUUAUACAAAUGUGGCAUGAUACAAUGUAAAGUCAAAAUUUCUAAAAUAGUUGUAAAAAUCAUAGAUGUCUAUUUGUAUAAAAUGAUAAUGUUUAACAUAUGAUUGAAUUCUCAGAGCACUUCUGUAAAGCAAUUAUUUUUACUUUCUGCAGUUGAUAACUAAAAUAUAUUUGAAACAUUUAAAGGAUAUACAAUAUUAAAACAUUGUGAAGUCUUUGAAAACCACAUAGUCAAGACUUUUAUUGAAAGUAAACAAGUAUGAGAUCAUUACUUAUGUGUCACAGCCUGAGGCGACUACAGGAUAUCUUUUACCUCACAUUCAUUUUUAAAAAAAUCAAUAUCAAAUUAAUAUAUAUUAUUCUGAGGAGAGCAUUUCACGUUUAUCUCAAAUUUAUGUAAUUGCAUUAUAUAAAGUUUUAUUGUCUAUUUUUCAACACCCUUUGCAGUCACAUAUCUUUCUUUGUCUUUUGUAAAUCAUAACCUUGGACUGAAUCCCUGAGCAAGAAAUACCAUCUUCUGACAUCACCGUAAUAAACGUUCCAUGUUAAGCAUGUCUUCUGCCUCUGUCAACAUCAGGAACAGCCACAAGGUUGUAGAGUCUAUUUUUGUCCAACACGCUUCCCAUUUGCUUUGCUUGUCACAGCAGGUUAUCUCAGCAUUCCUUUUGCUGACUCUCACUUUCCCUUCUUGCUCUGUAUAAUACACAUACAACACAGUUCAGCCUUCUCAGCAGAGUUUGGAUCACAUAACAGUGUGAAAGGCUUGUCUUUCCCUGCAGCUGGAACCUAACCUCUUCCCUGUUAUUCUAAGUGCCCACCUUGUUUUCUACCCCUUUUCUUUCUUCCCACAUCCUCACCAACGAUGAUAUUUUUCUUGUCCAUGCCUCAGCUGUCCUUUGAGGCUCUUCUUAUACUAUAUUUUCUGCAUGGACAUAUAAAUUCUUUUCCAUUUAUUUUUUUUUGUUCCCUCGUUCUGGUAUUGAAAGUUGUGUCAUUGAUACAGCACAGAACUCACUGGAUUAUAAUUACUCAUCGACACACACUUUGAAUAGGUGGAUGCCAAAACCCUGGAGAAAACAUUAAUGUAGUUUAAUGACAUUAAAUGUUUGUAUAAGAGAACUGACUUUUGUGUACUUAACAAAUGACUUUGAUGAAGAGGAACUGUACAAGAAGAAUUCAAAAGGACACAAAUAUUGCACAAAAUUAAGAGUGUAGAAAUGGGGCCAGGCAAACCAUUCUGUAAAAGCUACAUUGCAAGCAUGCUUGCCUUUGUGGGUCAUAGUCACUGUUAUAACCACUAAACUUUAUCGUUUUAAUAAAAGAAGCAGCCAAUGACAAUAUA